GUUUUGCUGCCUCUUCUUCCAUUUCUCUGCAAGUCCCCUCUUCUCUUCUCUCUCAACAUUUUUCUGCCUCCGAAGAAAAAUAUCUUACCUCUCCAGAUCCAUCGGGUUUCUUACAAAAACUAACAGAUCUUCAUGAACACUACACCAUGAACCAGGAGGAAAAACCAUUUCCUUCUUCACUCCAGAUCUAUUUAUAUCAUUAUGUUCGAUAUAAAACCAUUUUCUUCAAUCUUAACUCAAAACCAUUCUUCUUAACCAUUUCCUUUUUCAUCUUUGUUGUUAUUGUGGUAUUAAUAGUUCUUCUUAUUGGAACUAAAGUUACGGUUUAAAUGUAAUUUCCCCUUUUUCUCUCUUUGUUCUUGUUGAUUUUGUUUGCUAUUAGGGUUUGAAAUCUCUUUUGGGUUUUAUUGUAGGAGUUUUUAGAAGACGAACAAUCAACCUCAGUUGGAUUUCUUGAACUUCUCCAGAUUCACCACCUCGGUGGCGGUACUGAAUGCUACAAAUUCACCACAUGCAGUACCAAUUGCUACAUACCUCCGCGAUCGUUGACAAUAUCAGUCAAGAGCAGAGAAGCAUGAUGAAUUUGAUUUUAGGGGUUCUCAAGCACAACAACUUCGGGGAACCUUGGCUACUUCAUGAUUUCAAUGAGGAUUUCUAAGGGGAAGAACCGCGUCUUGUGAUUGUUAGUUAUAUGCGACCAGAGUUAUUGACAUGAAUUUAAGUAAAGUAAUAUUCCCAACAAUGAAGCAAAUGCAGUUUCACCACCUGAUCCUGCAGCUGUGAAUGCAGUCAUGUAGAUAGCCUGAAACUGUUGCUUACUUCCGAUGAAGCUGACAGAAUUAUUGGUGAUCAUGCUGAAUAGUUUUUGCUACUUGCAUAGUGUAGAUUGUUGGGAUGCAGUGCCCUAUUUCUUUCUUUGUUGGAGGCUAGUUCCGCAAGAGUUAAAAGCCGAUAUCUGGAAGGGUUUGAGGUAACUCCCUGCUCACUGAUUUGUGAAAUCUAAGGAUAUCCAUCUACUUUUGCUAUGCAUCUAGGUUUUAUCUGCUUGUUGUUAUCAUGUUUUGCAACCUUCGCUGGUUCAUUUUAUUUUCUUCUUGUGAAGAUUCCUGAUGUAAAGAGAUGAAGCUGGAAUAAGCUAAUGAAUGUGAAUGGUAAAAGUCUGUCAUGAAUAUGAAUGGGAAAAUUCUGUAAUGAAUAUUUUGCAGAUUGGGAAAUAAGAAACUGCAGGCCUGUAAACUGAAAGUCCAGGCCCGUGAUA